AGUGAACGCUGGCGGUAGGCCUAACACAUGCAAGUCGAACGGCAGCACAGGAGAGCUUGCUCUCUGGGUGGCGAGUGGCGGACGGGUGAGGAAUACAUCGGAAUCUACCCAGUCGUGGGGGAUAACGUAGGGAAACUUACGCUAAUACCGCAUACGACCUUCGGGUGAAAGAGGGGGAUCGCAAGACCUCUCGCGAUUGGAUGAGCCGAUGUCGGAUUAGCUAGUUGGCGGGGUAAUGGCCCACCAAGGCGACGAUCCGUAGCUGGUCUGAGAGGAUGAUCAGCCACACUGGAACUGAGACACGGUCCAGACUCCUACGGGAGGCAGCAGUGGGGAAUAUUGGACAAUGGGCGCAAGCCUGAUCCAGCCAUACCGCGUGGGUGAAGAAGGCCUUCGGGUUGUAAAGCCUUUUUGUUGGGAAAGAAAUCUUUCAGGCUAAUACCCUGGGAGGAUGACGGUACCCAAAGAAUAAGCACCGGCUAACUUCGUG
rnacentral:rRNA from 1 species